rnacentral:rRNA from 1 species
GACGAACGCUGGCGGCGUGCCUAAUACAUGCAAGUAGAACGCAGUUGCGCACGGGUGAGUAACGCGUAGGUAACUUCCUCAUAGCGGGGGAUAACUAUUGGAAACGAUAGCUAAUACCCCAUACUUUGAGAUGGACCUGCUUUGUAUUAGCUAGUUGGUGGGGUAAAGGCUCACCAAGGCGACGAUACAUAGCCGAGCUGAGAGGGUGAACGGGCACAACGGGACUGGGGCACGGCCCAGACUCCCUAGGGAAGGAGCAGUAGGGAAUCUUCGGAAAUGGGGGGAAGUCUGAAUGAGGAACGGCGCGGGAGUGAAGAAGGUCUUCGGAGUGGAAAACUCGGUUGAUAGAGGAGCGGUAACUACAGAGAAAGGGACGGCUAACUACGUGCCAGCAGCCGCGGUAAUAC